CCGCACUACCACUUGAGCCACAUCCCCACCCUUCUUAUAUUAUUUCAUUGAAGAGAUUAUGCAUUCCUUUGGUUUGAAUCUCUGAACCUUCCUCUAUCCUAAUAAAUCUUAAAUUUGUUUCAAGAUUGUAUAUUUUGUCUUCAUUGUGUGAGGUCCUAUCUUCCAAGUGAUAUAAUCUGUUGGUGAUGCUAUCUAUUAAGUUUUUUAAUUGGCUUAUUGUUUCUUUCAUUUUGAGGAUUCCUGUUUGGCUUUUUUUCAGAAUCUUUCUCUCUUUCUUGAAGUAAUCUCUUGCAACCUGUAUUUGCUCUCUUGUCUCUUUGUUGGAGUGAUCUAUUUUUGUCUGUAUCUGCCCACAUAGGUCGUUCUUUAAUUCCCAAAUCAUUUUAAUUAUGUAUAUUCUGAACUCCUUCUCUGACAUUUCACCUACUUUGCUAUCUAUGGAUUCUAUUGUUGAGGUAUCUUGGUUUGUUGGGGACACUUUCCUCCCUUGUUUUUUCAUGAUGUCUUUGAGUCUUCCUCUCUUGCAGUGUAGAUCUGAGGUAUUAUAGCUUCUGCCCUAUUGUCUUAUAGUGUGCCUACAGGUUACCAAUUCCUCACUUUUAAGGGAGAGACUAAUAUUACAGCACUGAGUGUGCCCAACAUGCAGCCAUAUAUCAGUUAGCUUCUAUUUUUACAUUUACAGUUUUGUCACCAUAAUCAGAAAUGAUGAGUUCGUUAUCUUCUGCCAUGUAGUCAAUAGGUUUGCAUAGUGGUUUACAGUUUCUGAUGGUAGAAGGGGUGUGGAGAGUUGACUGAGAUAUUUAUGAGGUAGGAUGUGAGAAUAUGGAGAUAUUAGAUUAUAUGACUAGUGAGAGGGUGAUCAUAGGAAGUUGGCUGUUAGGAGGAGAAACAAGACAGAGGCCACCCCAUGCAAGACUCCCUGUUACCUCAGCAACAGGAUAGCUGUUAGCACCCCUAGUAGAGAAACCUCUGGUGCAGCCAGGCCCACAGGGACCUUGGUGAUGUCUUACCGGGUCCUUAUUGUUGUCCCUUGAUAGAAGCAGCGAUAUCCCAGUUUCGUGGUGUGGCAGCCUCAAGCCUAUGUGUACCCUGAUAUUGG
rnacentral:lncRNA from 1 species